UCCCAAGCGUUUAGGACUGUAUGAUGUAUUAUUCGGAUGAUGCGCCCAGAUCCCAGUAGGGUGGCCUUUUGCAGUUGGCAGAUCAUGAUCUUGUCAAUGUCUAUUGUUUCCAAAUGCCGGCUGAGGUCUUUUGGCACGGCACCCAAUGUGCCGAUCACCACCGGGACCACCUGCACUGGUUUCUGCCAGAGUCUUUGAAGUUCAAUCUUGAGGUCCUGAUAGCGGCUGAGUUUUUCCUGUUGUUUUUCGUCAAUGUGACUGUCACCUGGCAUGGCGACAUCAAUGAUCCAAACCUUUUUCUUUUCCACAACUGUGAUGUCUGGUGUGUUGUGUUCUAGAACUUUGUCAGUCUGGAUUCGGAAGUCCCACAGUAUCUUUGCGUGCUUAUUUUCCAAGACUUUUGCAGGUUUGUGAUCCCACCAGUUCUUUGCUGCUGGGAGGUGAUACUUGAGGCAUAAGUUCCAAUGAAUCAUCAUCAUUUUUAUUUUUAUUAUUAUUAUUAUUAUUAUUAUUAUUAUUAUUAUUAUUAUUAUUAUUAUUAUUAUUAUUAUUAUUGCUGCUUCCUGGCUAACUAUAGUCCGGCCCUCCAACGGUCCGAAGGAUCGUGAACUGGCCCCCUAUUUAAAAAGUUUGGGGACCCCUGAUAUAGAUUGUGCAUUACUCGCCAAAUCAGGAGACACCGGCCUCAAAAGUUAUCUUGGGAAAAAGUUCCGACUCCUCCCAAUGUUCUUUCUGUUUGCGGGCUUGGCCAUGGGGUCUCUUCUUCCAACUCUUGUUAUUGUAGGAUUCUAUAAAAGAAGGAAGGAAGGAGGGCAUGAUGCUGGAAAAGGAGAGAAGGCGGAGAGAAGGGAGGAAGGAGGGAAUGUGGGAAGGAGGGAAGGGAGGAGGCUCCUCCCCGGGUUCCGCCUUCUCCCCGGUUUCCGCCGCCCGAGGCCCUGGCCGCCCCCAAAGGCGAAGCAGGGCAAUGAGUGAAAUCUCAACUUGGUGAGCGGAGAAAAUCAGGAGGAAAGAAUUCUGUAACUCAACCAAGUGACUUGCAAGGAGGGCUAACUGCUCCCGGGAAAGAACUGGUACGUGGUGUUUCUUGUUUGCAUACGUUUGACGUGAUGCGUUUUCUUCUUCGAUUACAGAAUGAGCACGUCUCUUGCUCCUUGCUUUUUAGGCAGGAUAAUCAUAUGUAGGUAAAAAGUAAAGGUUUUCCCCUGACAUUAAGUCUAGUCGUGUCCGACUCUGUGGGUUGGUGCUCAUCUCCAUUUCUAAGCCCAAGAGCCGGCGUUGUCCAUAGACGUCUCCAAGAUCAUGUGGCCAUUGGCAUGACUGCAUGGAGUGCCGUUAAAUUCCCGCUGGAGCAGUACCUAUUGAUCUAGUUACAUUUUGCAUGAUUUUGAACUGCUAGGUUGGCAGGAGCUGGGGCUAACAGUGAGAGCUCACCUUGCUCCCUGGAUUCAAACCACUGACCUUUCAGUCAGCAAGUUUAGUAGCUUAGUGAUUUAACCUGCUGCGCUAUUGUGGGCUUCAUAUGUAGGGUUAUGCAAAAUUCCAUUGGACAAUUUGGAUUUCGGAUAAUUUUGGAGAUCUGGCCCCUGAGCCUCCGGAAAUGAACCGGGAAAGAGCCUGGAACAAAAACAUGGCAUCUAAUCUUUCGGCUAAAAACUGAGGAAAGAUUAGUUGAUUCAGACUUACUUUUCAUCAUUAGUAUUCUGACUGUUUGUUUGUUUUGCAAGCACAAUCAGCAAUCUCUCCGUGGUGAGAGAAAUGGGGCUGAGCGGUGAACGCAGCCACAGCACUACAUCACAUUUCACAGGCUUGGUUUUGUCCAUUCUCUUCUCUUGUGUCACACACUGUUUUGUACUUCAAAUCCCAGAAAUCCCUGUUGUAGUUUUAAAAAAUUUUAUUGGUAAAAACUUUUUAAAUUUUCCAAAAAUCAGUGGAUGGGUGAAACAUCAUGAAACUUGCUAGACUUCCAGCCAUAAAUGUGUCCUACAAGUGUGCCAUGUUUCAUCCUGAUUGCCAUAUAAAUGACAGAGAAACAAGCCUUCUUCUGUGACAGCUUCAGAAAACAUGUUCAUCGUUGGCAGAAAUGUAUCCAACUGCAAAAGGCCACCCGACUGGGAUCUGCACGCAUCAUCCGAAAAUACAUCACACAGUCCUAGACACUUGGGAAGUGUUCGACUUGUGAUUUUGUGAUACGAAAUCCAGCAUAUCUAUUUUGUUUGCUGU
rnacentral:lncRNA from 1 species